UCCCUGACACACAGCUCUGCAGUCUCACAAACUGCAGUCUGCCUGUCAGGUAGU
rnacentral:pre_miRNA from 1 species